rnacentral:rRNA from 1 species
CAUACGGGAGGCAGCAGUUAGGAAUAUUGGACAAUGGGCGAAAGCCUGAUCCAGCCAUGCCGCGUGUGUGAUGAAGGCCUUAGGGUUGUAAAGCACUUUCGUUGGGGAUGAUAAUGACCGUACCCAAAGAAGAAGCACCGGCUAACUUCGUGCCAGCAGCCGCGGUAAUACGAAGGGUGCAAGCGUUGUUCGGAAUCACUGGGCGUAAAGAAUGCGUAGGCGGCUAAACAAGUCAGGAGUGAAAUCCCAGGGCUUAACCCUGGAACUGCUUCUGAAACUAUUUGGCUAGAGUCCCGGAGGGGUUAGCGGAAUUCCGAGUGUAGAGGUGAAAUUCGCAGAUAUUCGGAGGAACACCAGUGGCGAAGGCGGCUAACUGGACGGGAACUGACGCUGAGGCAUGAAAGUGUGGGGAUUAAACAGGAUUAGAUACCCUGGUAGUCCACACCGUAAACGAUGUGUGCUAGUUGUCGGGUAGUUUACUAUUCGGUGACGGAGCUAACGUUUUAAGCACACCGCCUGGGAAGUACGGCCGCAAGGUUAAAACUCAACGGAAUUGACGGGGACCCGCACAAGCGGUGGAACAUGUCCUUUAAUUCGUAGCAACGCGAAGAACCUUACCUACCCUUGACAUAUCAGUUGAGAUUUCCAGAGAUGGAUUUCGUCAUUUAGUUGGACUGAAUACAGGUGCUGCAUGGCUGUCGUCAGCUCGUGUCGUGAGAUGUUGGGUUAAGUCCCGCAACGAGCGCAACCCUCGCCUUUAGUUGCCAUCAUUAAGUUGGGCACUCUAAAGGGACUGCCCGGGUUAACCGGGAGGAAGGUGAGGAUGACGUCAAGUCCUCAUGGCCUUUAUGUCUAGGGCUACACACGUGCUACAAUGGUCGGUACAAAGGGCUGCAAACCCGUAAGGGGGAGCGAAUCUCAAAAAACCGGCCUCAGUUCAGAUCGAGGUCUGCAACUCGACCUCGUGAAGGCGGAAUCGCUAGUAAUCCCGGAUCAGCACGCCGGGGUGAAUACGUUCCCGGGCCUUGUACACACCGCCCGU